rnacentral:rRNA from 1 species
UACGAAGGGGGCUAGCGUUGUUCGGAAUUACUGGGCGUAAAGCGUUUGUAGGCGGUUAUUUAAGCCAGUGGUGAAAGCCCGGGGCUUAACCCCGGAAUUGCCAUUGGUACUGGAUAGCUAGAGAAUGUUAGAGGAAAGUGGAAUUCCUAGUGUAGGAGUGAAAUCCGUAGAGAUUAGGAGGAAUAUCGAUGGCGAAGGCAGCUUUCUGGGACAUUUCUGACGCUGAGAAACGAAAGCGUGGGUAGCAAACAGG